rnacentral:lncRNA from 10 species
AUUAACCUCACCUUCAAGGUGAACAAUAAUAGAGUAGCAGCAGCCAAGUAGCAACAUAUUUCUGUGUUGCAAUUCCUUGCCUCCACUGUGAGCCAAACCCCAGCCACAUCUCCAGCACACAAGAACUUCCAAACGCCUGACGGCAGCUGCAAGGCGUUCCUCCAGAACCUCCUCCCACAAGAGCUUGCUACAAGUGCAAGAAAUCUGGCCACUGGGUCAAGGAAUGCCCACAGCCCAGGAUUCCUCCCAAGCUGUGUCCCAUCUGUGCCACUGAAAAUCGGACUGUUCAACUCACCUAGCAGCCACUCCCAGAGGCCCUGGAACUCUGGCCCAAGGCUCUCUGACUCCUUCCCAGAUCUUCUCGGCUUAGCAGCUGAAGACUGAGACUGCCCGAUUGCCUCGAAAGCCUACAGGACCAUCACAGACUCUCUGGGUAACUCACAGUGGAAGAUCUUCCUUUGGACAACCGCCUCCUCCCUGCCUUCAUUCCUGUGGUUUGGUGAAGCUGACACUUCUCCCAGCUAUAGGGAGGGGCGUGAGCCACAGGCCAAAGUCAAUCAGUGCAUUCCAUCCACCAGCCCAGAGACUGAAUCAGCAAAGGUCCCAGAGCUCCACUUGGGCCAAUGGCAGUCAGGCCAAGGACUUUGUGGAACUGUUGCUCAGAGGACAGGUACUCACCUUGCACUGAAACUGGAGUGAUGGGAGUAUGAACCUGGGGCUACUAACAGCCAUCUUGCCCCAGAAGGAAGUACUUCCCUAAGUUUAAUGCCUACCCAGAGGAGGGCAGAGCAGAUAGACAAGAGACAGGGUUCUGGGGUCAACUGUGUCUGAAGUCAGAGACAUGAAAUAAAUUUCGUUUUUUGCUCAGAUUCAGGUCUUGCACAGAAACUGAGCCUUGAUUUUCCGCAGAAUAUACUGUGACCAAGCCUCCUGCAGGGCUGCCUGUACGUUAAAGAAAUGGAAGCGUCUUGAAUCGUGUCCAUCGUCCCUCCUUUACACAAAGUAAUCACCUCCAGCUGGGCCAAGUUGAUUGAGGAAACGUUCAGUUUUCACAUGAUUUUGCUGUAGCACCAUAAUGAAUGUAUUUCUUUGAUGGAAGAAAGAAGCUUCAUGAAAUAAACUGCUUAAGGAUUUGAAGUUGGAGCUGAAAACAUGGGCUGCUUUGUUCUUAAUGACAACUGCUUUGCCAUCUAAAACAUUUCUCCUUUUUGAAGGAUCUGUCUUUUCUCUUCCAGCCACAACCCUCGAGCUACAAUAACAGGCUCAUGAUUUUUUUAGAUGCCAAGGUUAUGAAUACUCUUUUAUGAAUAUUUUCCUUUGAACUCAUUUCUCUUGAAGAAGAAAAAUAGCCCUACAUAUUGCAGGAUUGACAAUAACAGACAAAACGUACAAAUUGUUCUCUUAGGGGCAGUAAAAUGCUCCAAAAUGCACAUAGAAAAAUUCCAAAUGCAACCUGAUGUUUAUGGAGCACUGCCUUUGCAGCUAUAAUUUUUAGAAAGUAAUAUUUCUGACUGACAUGAAUUAUACAGAGCAUAUUUCAGAGACUAAUAUCAGGUUAAUGCCUUAAAAUGUCUCCGUUUAUGACAUCAUGGCUGCUUUUCCUAUAUCAGUGCAAACUCUUAGUGAGUAGAAUUUGAGGAUAUGUCUUUUCAAAGGAAGAAAACCUUCACUGAAUUAAGCUGCUUAUGGUUUUAUUUUUUCUUUUAUCCCAUUUCAACAUAUCCACCAACCUCCUCUAAAAAUAAUUCAACUAAUGUGAACUCAACAGAUUAUAGUAGAUCUCUUAUUAAUUUCAUUUUGCCUCCAAAGGAGCUUAUCAUUUAGGCUUAUAAUUAUGUAUGCAGUACUGUCGACUAAUGUUUAGGUUCCUCAUUAAAACUUCAUUUCAUUCUGUUUUAAUAUCAUCAGUCUGUUAGACCAUUUAUUUUCUCAUGUUAAAAAAUAUGUGUUUUCCCUGAACUCUUUCCAUAUGUUUUCUCUCAUCCAAAAAAUCCAGAAAACUCAGCUCCCUUUAAUCCUGCUUUGUGGCUUAGAUACUUUAGCCUGGAACCACUCGUGUUGAUUUGUAUAUACCCACACUUACGCAAAAAUAGCCUUCACUACGGCAGAGUAAUCAUUCUGCAUAGAAAUUAUGUGUCUCUGAAGCCUAUGUUGUCAGGUGAAUCGUGGCAGCAAUGACCUAAGAAUGCAUCCCCAGUUUGAAAUGACCUAUAAAAAUUUCAAGAUACAACUAUUGCUUUGCAUUUGGCAUCGGGAAUAUUCUGUAUAGUUCUUUUCAUGUAAAUGGGCAAUAUUCUAGAAUGGUUCCCAAGUAUAAGCUUUAGAGCUAGACUUCUUGGGUACAACUCCCACUAUUACCACUUACUAGUUAUGUAAUAUUGGAAAAUACACUUAACUACUCUGAGCAUCAUAAAGUAAGCUUACUAACA